rnacentral:lncRNA from 1 species
UGAUAUAAUAUCAUGUACAAAUAAAUUUUUUAUCAAACACCAAUAUUAUAAAAUAAUAUAUUCUACUCUAUAUGUAAAUUACAAAAUAUAAAAAAAAUAUAUAGAAUUUUUUUAUAAAAUCAGCGGUUUAUAAGUUUAUGUUGAACACAAUUUAAAUCAAACACCCCGGUGGGGACGAGGGUCAAGUUCUAGUUUAUCUUAUUGUAUUUGCAUUUAGUAAUUAAACAAACUAAUAUAUGCAUAAAACAACAUAUUUAAAAAUUAUAUUAUAUUUAAUUUAUGCUAAAUUAUGACUCGCCAUUCAAAGCUAAUUCUUUUUAACAAUAU